UACGGGGGGGGGCGAGCGUUGUUCGGAAUCACUGGGCGUAAAGGGCGCGUAGGCGGCCCGCACAAGUCUGCGGUGAAAACCUCCGGCUUAACCGGGGGCCGGCCGUGGAAACUGUCGGGCUGGAGGCUGGGAGAGGGCAGCGGAAUUCCCGGUGUAGCGGUGAAAUGCGUAGAGAUCGGGAGGAACACCGGCGGCGAAGGCGGCUGCCUGGACCAGUCCUGACGCUGAGGCGCGAAAGCUAGGGGAGCAAACAGG
rnacentral:rRNA from 1 species